AUAAAGAUAUGCAUUUUUCCUCCUGUCAAUGCUUGAAACUUGUGUAUCUUUAUGCUAAUUGUUUAUUCAGUGCCUAAGGUGAUAUCAAAAAUUCUGUCAAUUCAAUUGUUUGACUUUAUUUUAAUUUUAAUUUUAAUUUUAUAUAUUUUAGAUUUCAACUUCUUUUCUAAAGGAAGCGCUGCUCUUAUUUAAAUUAAAUAUUGGAAAAGGAAAAUGAGGUUUUAGGUUGCAUUUUUAUUGUUUAUUUAUUCUUUAACAGAUUUUUAUUGGCCAUUGUGUUUGAAUAAAUGUGUGUCUUUGUAUAUAUAGAGGGAGAGAUUAUAUAUUUAAAAUGAUAAGUGCUAUGAUUUCAUUUUCCUCAUAAGUUGUUCAAAUGUUAUAUGAACUGCUUGUGAUAAUAAUGAAUUGCUUGCUUUUAGUCUAGAAGUGCUUUGUUAUUCUAAACAAUUGUUGCUUCCUGUUUAUUGAAUUUGAUGUGAUUUUUUGUGCUUGUAUCAUUCUGAUACUAAUUAAUCAUCAAAGAAAAUGUUGCCACUAUCCAAAGAGGCUAAUUGGAUAGCGAAAGUGGGGACGUCUCGGCGUCCAAGAGGAUCAGAUUCCUUGAUAAGUCCGAUAUUUAGAGAAUUAUGGUCCAUUAGAGUUUGAAAUGAACCUAUAAAUAAAGUAUGUAUCUAUAUUGCUUUGAACAUAUUGUAAGCAUUGAAAAGAUGAUUGAAACUAUUUUUAAAAUGGCGUUGUCAUUUUCUCUAAGUUUUGAACUUGAGCCUUGUGUCUAAUGGUCUUUCAGUAGUAUGCAUGUGUACCGAGUCGCACGUGUUCACUCAUGUAUCAUCAAUUCACAUGUCAAAUACAUCAAGUAGCAUAUUGGUUGUCAGUCUCGAACACAAUGAUGCGAGUUUAAAACAAAGAGAAAAUGAAAAAGUAUACUAAAAUAGAUUUUGCUAAGAAUUAUCAAAGUAUUUGAAUGGUUCGAACAAGAUCCACAAUGGACCAAAGUUCUCUAUAUGUUUGACAUUCGAACAAGAGUUAGAUUGCACUCGAGACGUCACAAUAAACUGUAAGGAUUCAGCCGUGGUGCUUGCAAGUGCAUAAUGAUAUGACUGCUUUUCGUGAAAUGUAUGUGAUUGCUCAAUGAGGUUUUAAAUAAUAAUUAUUGUGUAUCGCAGAUGAGUGGAUGCUUCAUGCUAUUCUGACAAUAUGUUGAUAUGAUUUUGAGUCGAGUUUCUCAUUUGAAAAUGUUUUAAGACUUGUAUGUUAGCUCAGUUUAAAAUAUUUCGAGGUGUAUGAUUGUAAACCUAGUUUUCAAAUAAUGGAACCAUUUAUGUCCUAAUUCUCUUUUCUUGAUACAUAUUCUCUACAACUUUUACUAUUCACCAUACUCUUCCUUUGGUUAUCUCUUUUUAUGUCUAUGGUAAAGGCUUUUUUGAUUAAAUCCAACUCCAUAGCUCUCCUGGCUAUGCUUUAAGCUUACUUAAGAUACUAACUUCUUGUUGACAGGCUUGAGUUGGGUUUAGUAAUUUUGGGCAUAUAUGUGAUAUUAUGAUUGGAUUGGAAAUUGAUGCUUGUUAAAUUUGGUCUAUGUUUGAAGAUUAAGCUCGAAGUACACAAGGAUUGGGUCGGCACAAGGGAUAUUGAAGGCUGUUUAGAGUUUAAAUUGGAGAACUGAUGAUGAGUUUGAAGCUAUCAACUCUAAGAAUUACAUUGUUUGAGGAUGAUUCUUUGGCUAAUUAUAACUUCCUUAUUUUCUUAUUUUGUUCACUCUCUUCAUUUUUAUUUCUAAGGUUAGUACUUCAACCUCAUCUCUGCAUAAUUCAGUAACUAUUUUUUAAUUUUAUUUAGUUGCAUGAAGUGAGUAAGGGCUUUGGGUUACUUUAACUGAUGAUUAUUGAUCGUGUUUGAUUUGUGUUUAUGGCUUAAUUGUUGUAUUACGGCAUGAGAUGUUAGAUUGGUGCUAUGCCAAAUUAUGUGAACCUUAGGUUGGUCCUUUUUUAGUGUGAACUUGAUUGGAGUUUUGGAUUUCUGUCCGCUGUGUGACAGUCGACUUGUUUGAGCAUUAUCUAGAGUUCCACAACUCCAAAUGAGGCAAAAUAUGAACCUAUAGAAACUUUGAUCCGUCCUCUAAAACUAUUUAUUUUGUGGAAGUCCUAAUUCUGCUGUUUUGGAAGUCAAAUUGAGUAUUAGAUUUUCAUGGUCAAUCUGGCCUGACAGAUUGACCUAUCUACAUUGUUUUAUUUAAUCCUCCUUGUUCGCAAGACUAAUUGGAAAUGAAGCUAGACUUAAUGUCCUUGUGAUUAGUAGAGAAGAGCCUCAUAAAUCUGUCAUAAAUGACAGUUUGUUGAUUGUGUGUAAAUAGUAGUUUUAGAUGAUUAAUUGCUUGAGAAAAUCUAUUUUUUUGAUGCCAUGUGAUAUAUUUGUUGAUGCAUCGCUGGUGGGAGCUUUGGUUUGGUAGCUAAGGGUUGAUUUUAAUAUUUGUUUGCUAAGUCCUGAAUUCUGUUCUAAGUCUUUUCUUGACAGUCAAAUUUGAAAAUUCAUACACCAGAUUCUAUGACACAUGAAGGGUUGAUUUUUGGGUAUUGUUGUUUCCCGUCUAUGUAGUUUAUGUGUAUAAAAGGGCACUUUGUCCAACGGCCGGAUCUUGACUUAUUGCCAUUCUUAUAGGGACUACCCAGAGAGAAUUUUCUAAACUAGAAUUAGGAAUCUUCCUUGUUUCUUUGGACUGCUUUCUAGAUUGGAAAAUUGCAAUUACCCCUUAAUUCAAUGAAUAUCUGAAAGGCUUUGAUACAAGAAUUUAUGGGAUUUAAGCCCUUAGUUUAAGUUGGAAGUGGCGCCUGAUUUAGUCUGAUAUAAUCUGAUUUGAUCUUUUAUUAUUGCACUAUUUUUUAUAUCAAUUUCAUAAUACUUUAUUUAAAACUUGCCAUCAACAUAAAGGAAAGUGUAUUUUUAGAAAUUCUUAUGUUAAGACUAAUUUCCAGGUUGUGUCACUUAUAGAUUCUUAUGUUGAAUGAACACAGCAAUAGAGUACACCCUCCUCUCCAUGAUUUGUCCGAUUAUAACACUUUCUUCUUUUAUGAUGCACAUUGAUAAAGUUUAUUUGUUAUACAAUUUGAAACAUAGUUCUGCAUCUAAAAAAAAAAAGCAAAGCAUAAUGUUGUUGGUUUUUAACAUAUCAUUUUAGUUAUGCAAUUUACUGAUAUUUUACUCUUCUUUUUGUAACCUGUCAUCAAACGGGAUGAAGUGUAGCUUUCCCUUGUCAUCCUCUGGGUUCUGGUUUGACUCUUGCAGCUGCGAAGGCAAGGCAUUUUGUACUGAAGAAUUCACAUUGAUUUCAGAUGGUGCUUCGUUGGGGUCCACGGACCAAGUCGCAUUUGCAGAGUGAAUCUAUUAUUAUCAACCAUAAGCCUAUGGGAGAUUUCUGUAUUGUUUAUUUCAAGUAUUUGCCUAUAUGUUUAGGAACUAGGUCUUGAAGCUAGAACUCUUGUCGGGACUUCACUGAUUGAUGCUCAUGCUGGUGAUGUGGGGAUCAUGGAGAGUGUUCCUCUUCCUGAUGCAGAUUUUGAUGUUAAAGCGAUGACCCCAUGGAGGGUGGGCAAAAUGCUACUGGUGCAUUAUUAGAUUACAUCAUAGAAAACCAUCUUGCUUCUCCUUGCCUCGCAAACCAUGCUGCUUCUCAAAGUAGGAUAUCAGUUCCGGCAUAUACGGUUUUAAUUAAAUUAUACCUUUACGUAGUACUGCGGCUUAAGUGAUUCCUGAAGUUGUUAAAGGCACACCUGGGGUGCAAGGUGCACGAAGCACAAGCCCUAGCAACUCAAACGCUAAAAGGUCCCAUGCAUAGCAAAUUAAAAUAAAACAACUACAAGAAAGAAAGAAGCCCAUGUUGCUUUAGAUAAGAUACAAAUUGUCUACAUGAGGGGGAUAAGACGUUGCUGUUGUAAUUAUUCUACAUCACACAACUAGCGAUGACCCCAUAGAGGGUGGGCAAAGUGCUACUGGUGCAUUAUUAGAUUACAUCAUAGAAAACCAUCUUGCUUCUCCUCGCCUCGCAAACCUUGCUGCUUCUCAAAGUAGGAUAUGAGUUCCGGCAUAUACAGUUUUAAUUAAAUUAUAUUUUU